rnacentral:rRNA from 1 species
UAGCUAGUUGGUGGGGUAAGGGCCUACCAAGGCGACGAUCGGUAGCUGGUCUGAGAGGAUGACCAGCCACACUGGAACUGAGACACGGUCCAGACUCCUACGGGAGGCAGCAGUGGGGAAUAUUGGACAAUGGGGGAAACCCUGAUCCAGCAAUGCCGCGUGUGUGAAGAAGGCCUGAGGGUUGUAAAGCACUUUCAGUAGGGAGGAGGGUGAUUUGGUUAAGAGCUGGAUUACUGGACGUUACCUACAGAAGAAGCACCGGCUAACUCCGUGCCAGCAGCCGCGGUAAUACGGAGGGUGCGAGCGUUAAUCGGAAUUACUGGGCGUAAAGGGUGCGUAGGUGGUUGAUUAAGUUAUCUGUGAAAUCCCUGGGCUUAACCUGGGCAGGUCAGAUGAUACUGGUUGACUGGAGUAUGGGAGAGGGUAGUGGAAUUUCCGGUGUAGCGGUGAAAUGCGUAGAGAUCGGAAGGAACACCAGUGGCGAAGGCGGCUACCUGGCCUAAUACUGACACUGAGGCACGAAAGCGUGGGGAGCAAACAGGAUUAGAUACCCUGGUAGUCCACGCUGUAAACGAUGUCAACUAGCUGUUGGUUAUAUUAAAAUAAUUAGUGGCGC